AUGACAAGAGAAGAUGAAGAGAAGACAACAUUCAUCACCCCAUGUGGUACGUAUUGCUUUUUACGGAUGCCUUUAGGGUUGAAGAGUGCUGGCUCGACCUUUGCAAGAGCGGUCCAAAUUGGUUUUGAGCCUCAGCUACAUAGAAAUACGGAAGCUUAUAUGGAUGACAUAGUAGUCAAAACCAAGGACAAGGCAACACUUGUACAGGAUCUGGAAGAAACAUUUGCAAACCUACGCAAGAUCAACCUCAAGCUUAAUCCCGAGAAGUGUGUCUUCAGCGUCCCGUCCGGCAAGCUUCUCGGGUUCUUUGUGUCGCAGCAUGGGAUUGAGGCAAACUCGGACAAGAUCAAGGACAUCGAGCAGAUUGAGGCACCUAAGCGGAUCAAGGAUGUGUGUCGGCUCGCUGGCUGCAUCGCCGCCAUGAGCAGAUUUAUCUCCAAGUCCGCCGAGCAUGCCCUUCCCUUUUUCAAAAUCUUGAAACAGGCGGGCCUGAUGGAGUGGACCCCGAAGGCUGAGGCAGCGCUAUAG
rnacentral:rRNA from 1 species